GCUUACUUGUCUUCCUUCCUUUGCAGUCUGUGCAUAUGCUAGUCUGAAAGCAGUAAUCCACUUUACCAAAUCAAGUUAUUUUUAAAAAAUUUUCUGGGAACUGAAGCUGCUGUACCUUUUUCUAAGGUUUCUAAAUAAUAAACAUUUGAAUUUGGUUCUGUGAAAUGAAAUUAUUCUGUUGAGGAGGACGGUUGCUGGUUUGUUCCAGUCUACAGCUGAGAGAGGCUUUCCCACUCAAUCUCUUCUUUUAUGCCAUUUCUUGGAUUUGCAGGUCUCUCUUCUGUCUCCCACUCUUCAAACUUUCUGGACCUCUACACUCUACUUGGUAUUUUCUCAAUUGUUUGUGUGUUAAUGCUGCCGAGAGGGAAAAAUUCCUAAAAGAAGGAGAGGCAAUUUGACUGUGCUGUUUUGUGCUUGCACCUGGGUGACUGGUGGCUGACCAUCCAGCAAGUGGGUAAACAAAAAGCCACAAGCAGUCCUGGAAAAUGGAAACUCUGCCCCUUUAUCUGUUACAAAGCUGCACCAGUCUGCUGAGUGCAAAAAAUGCAUUGUUCAGUAAACCCAGCGAAGACCAUAAGAAGGCAGUCCUUAGCAAAAUAAGUUGCAUCUGGAAGCAUUCUAAGGACAAAAUUCAGUCAAAAACCUUUGAAGGGGAGGUCUAAGAACUGCAGCAUUUCAGACUCCAGGAUAAAGUUUUGGAAAAUUUCAGUUUAGGAUUCCAUUUCAUUCUCACAUUAGGCACCUAAAUCUUGUUUCUCACUUUUCUUUUGAAUAAGUAAAUGUGUGUAUAUAUAUAUAUAUGUAAUUUACUCAUUUAUUAAGUAUUUUCAUUCAAGUUUUCAAUCCAAAUUUCUGCUAUUGCACUUACUUGUGAAAUUGAAUGCACUCUGGAACAAUGUGAAUAAACUCCUUAGAAAUAGAAGAACUGCCUUCUUAGAUAAAGACUCAGCAUGUCAUAACCAAGGUUAGCUCCAAAAGGUCUUAGUACCUGUCAUUUCAAGGGCACAAAGAAAUAUCUUCAAGACUUCAUCUCAGCUGCUAUUUUGUUUUUCAGCUUAGCCUAAAAUAGUGUUUAUUACAAACUAGUAGUGUCUAAUGAGUAAGUAUGAUAAAAAUAACUUUCUAGACUUGAUAAAGAAAAAUAAACAAAGUGGCUUUGAGUGGUACAAUAAAUACUUUUUAUUUUUCAAUUGUAUUAGUACUUCUAAGUACACAGUUGCUUAUUGGUAUAUUAAAUAGUGAACCUAUUGAAUCUACACACUGCAAUGCUAAUGACUUUGUGUGUUUGAAAAUUGUUUAGGGAUGGUUAUCUUGUCCAGUUCAGAUAAGGCAGAGAUGUAUUCCCCACACAACUAGACGUGUUGGCCAUCUACAGGCAAACUCUGCUGUGGAUGCAUAAGAAAUACAUUUAUAAAUGUAUUUAUAUUAUAUUUUAGUAUUAUCAAAUAUCAAAAUAAUUUUGCAUAUGAACAUAGUUAGCAUGUAUCACCUGCUAGCCUUUUUUCUAUUAAAAAAAAAAAGAGAACCAAAGAGAGAAUUCUCAACUUUCUGUUUCUCUGCUUUUUGUAUAGUAUCUUUGGGCCGACAUCCGUGCAUUCAGUUUCCAAGAUCAAACUUUAUAUGCAUGUGUUAAAGACAGUUUCAACUCACAGCAACUCAAUACUUUUAUAUCAAAUUUAGUUGAUUUUGUAUUUGUGAUCUUCGCUAAUGUACCAGGAAAAUUAUAUUUGUAAAAGCACAGGCGUAAAGAAUUACAAAAUUGUUCUUUGUCCAUUGUAUUAUCUUGCAAUACAAUGGUAACAUGCUCAAUAUUCACUUGGCCCAGAAUAUGAACUCUUAGAGAUCCACAUUCCUCAUUUACAGGCAGGACUCACCAGUUAAGAAGACUCUCCUUAACCUAUGGGUGUGGGUAACCAGAGCUCUAACAGAGUACCUAUUUAUUUUAAUUAAUUGUUACUGUUACUUUCAAUAACUGAACAUCUGAGGAAUGAAGUGAGCAGUUGAUCCCAAAGCAACAAUGAAAGAAUGAACUGGAUGAUUAGAGGCAGGGCCCCAGAAAGUGAGUACAGCCCAGCAUCCUGUGCCAAAAGAAAGCACUUCAAGCACAUUCAAGUGCACUACAAGCUCCUGGGGGGAUUAGAACUAGUGGUACUGGAACAAGAGAGACAAAUAAUGCACAUAUCAAAGUAAGUAGUUACACUGUGUACAGGAAGUAUUAAAAUAUAACACAAAGAAUAAGAAAUGGAAGACAAUUCAAACCACUGUUGUCAGCACCAAAAAAGCCAACUUUUAUUUGUGAAGUGUAUUUCAGGAAAGUGGAAGAGAAAAGAAUAUAGAAAGCAGUAUAUGUAAGGAAAGAUGGAGGGUGAAGUUUGGGGUUAAGGCUCAGAAGUUUUUAAACAAAGUGUUUACUAAAUGAUGGAAUACUGUGUGAUCCACUUACAAAUAGGAGCUGAGCUUUUAUCUAUACUUAGAUAAGGCAUGCUUAAAUAAAUAAAUAAAUUUUGUAACUGGACAUCCAGAAAUGCUACUUGGGGCUGUGAAUUUGAACAAGUAGUAGGAAAAACAAGAAACCUAAAGCACGAGCAAGUGUGACUCAAGGACUGUGUCAAAAGUAGCAGGAUAAAGCAACUGUAACUUCCCCUUUGGAUUUGGAAAAGCAUUCGAAGUAGUAAAAUGAAGUAGAUAGCCAGAUAGUCUCAUUAAAAUAGCAACAAUAAAUGACCCUUUCUCAAGCAAGGCCAAGUAAUGAUACUGAUUUGGACUCAACAGCAGGAGCUGGAAAAGAAUCUUUUCCCCUGUUUGGCUAGCUUCCCCCAUUUAAGAACUUCAAACAUUGCUGGGCUUCUCCAUUUUUAUUUUAUUUUUUUUUUAAUUUAUUUCCAUGCCUAGGGAAGCCAAUUUGGAGAGAAGGGUCCUGCUCUAUGCAUUACAAUGUCAGGACUCAAGUGCAAAGUAACUUAUAGUACCGGCACAUCUUGAACCAUAAGAUUUUGGAGAAAAUCCUAUAUAAAACUUUUCCUAACCUCAGGAGACUCAUUACUAUCUUCCUUAUCAAAUCCCAUCUCAGUAAUGGGCUACACAGGGAAUGUAAUCUCUAUGACUGUUGGGCAGUGGAACCUAGACAAGGUACUCUACAAAAAUGAAGUAUUAUUUUCAGACUAUUGCUCAGACAUUGUGUUUGUUCACCAGUAAGUUAAAUAACCAAUACACAAUGUCUGUUUUUAUACCAUUUCAGCCUUUAAAAAAAAAUCACUCUAGGAAAAAACAACUUAUCUUCUGCAAAAAGAAGCCCAUUAAUCUUUCAAGAAGCAAUAAAUGGCAGAAUGGCAGACAUUUCUAAUGUGUAGGUGUUAUGGGAGGGAGGGAAGGAGUCUAGGGACAGGAAGGGUGUCUAGUUACCAUGCUAAACCUUAGCCUUUUAGAAUGUGACUAUUUUAUUAUGAAUUGAGGCAUACAGGCUGCUGUCAGCUGUUGGUCUUCAAACUUUCAUUGAACACCUAUUCUUCAAUUAUUAUUAUUUUUUUUUAACUCCCAGCUUUGUUGACAUCAUUUGUCUUACCUUUCUGCCUCUUCUUUUUCAAUGUACUAGUUGUUGAGAAAAGAAUGAAGUGUAUGCUGACUAAGCCUUUUUUUUUUUUCUUUUUUUUUCUUUUUUGAAAGGAAGUAAGGCAGAGUUGUAAAAUCUGAAAAAGAGCAAAGGAGUGAGGUCCUCUGACCAGUUGUUAGCUGUCUUGAGAGUGAGCACUAAAUGAAAUGAACUAGCUAAUUCUCAGACGUGAAUACAUUUGCCAAGUCACUGGCUGCGAGAAUACUGUUUAGGGAUUGUUCAUACAGCAUCAUUAUGCAGUUUGUGAUCGAUCUUAAAGAUGAUAAUCAGUGGCAUGACUGUUUACCCUAACCAGUACAUACAGAGAUGAUGUGGCAGAUAUUUAUUCUAAGUUUAGAAAAACAACUGGGAACAGAGUAAAGGUUUUCCAAAGAAAUACUCAAGUGUUCCUCUCUGAGAAACUUUGUUCCUGUGUUUUUACUACAGUAGGAUAGUAAAUAAGCUAAUGCAAUUUCUGAGUCCUUUGCCAUCUCAUCUCUUACAAAUGAUUCUCUUUCAAAUCACCCAUAACUGCUUAAAAUGAAAACAAAUACCAAACAUUGGAGACAGCCUGUAGUUGUUUUGUUUUGUUUUGUUUUGUUUUUCAAAAAAAAAGUCAUCUUUUGUGUUUCAGUAGUAUGUAACUAAUAGAUAGAACACCACCAAAAAAGGCAACCAGGAAAGUCCAAAGUUAACCACACUGCUAGGAUUCCUACUGACCCAAAUUCUUAGAACAUUCAUCACACACUGGACAAAUACAAGGAGCCAUAUCUGACAAGAACAUUGUACUUAUAGCAUAGAUAAGUUUAUCCUAGAUCUGGAGUUCUCUUUUCACUUAAUGUGCUCUGCAAGGCUAGGAAAAAAAAACAGAUAGGACCGAGUUAGCGUGAAAAGAAAGAAGUUACUUAGCAGGAAUGAAGACUAUCCAUAAUCACAUCAGAACUGAGCUAUUUCCAUGAAACAUUUUAACUUCCAAUUAGUACAUUCGGUGAGGAAAACAGCGUGGCUCUCUGUAUCAAGAUAAGAACCUCUUACGUUACCUAAGUAUGCUUCAUGACAGGUGAAGAGCAAGGACAUAGGAAAAUAAUUAGACUGUGGGAAAAGAAUGGCCUCCCUCAAGGAGUAUGCAAAUAAAGUACAAAUGUCUAUAGUCUCUCAGAAACCAGUAACAUAAAUAAGACAUAUGAGACAAUUAGAAUUGUUUUCAGUUUUCUUUCUAGCAAUCUCCCAAAUAUUAGCAUUAAGAAACAAUAUGGAAGAAGAUCAAGUAGAAUUUCAAUGCAGGCAUUUGUUUUCAAAUUCUGAGAUAUACAUGCUUCUCUCACCUCUCAUCAGAAAACAUGUGCAGAACUGGUUUUCAUGCAAGCAAAUAAAAAGAACUGUACCUAGUUUACUGUACAUACGUUGUGUAGUUACUACUCAUUGCAUUUCUGUCUCUCACUCUCUUCAUCGCCGUAGAAAAAUAGCUUCCCACUACAUCAACAUGCAUCAGACAGAAUUGUAAACAUUUUAUUGUUAUUCUCAUAGUGAAAAAAUGCAUUCAAAUUGAUUAGCUUUUAGCAAAAAGAAUGGCCUGUGUUUCCUGUUCUUUCCUUGGCCAUUUCCUGUCUCAGUUGUUUUUGGUUACAGAUACAGACACUGAACAUUCAUUUCACAGCACAUGACAGGACAGGUUUUGAUGACAGGAGCCUGAGUGGUCAAACUGCAUUUGAUGACAAGUGUCAACCUCUGAAGUUUCUGUUGCAGUGCUCACUAAAACUUCAACAAUCAAGGAAGGAUGCCAGUUUAGUUUACUUCCUGCACGGUUCCCCUGCUGGCAAAAGAAGAGGGCAGGAUGCAGUAUCAGCAACCUUAGGGCUUUUGUCUUCUAGAGCAAAUGCUGGCCAGGCAGGCGUGAGCAGGCAAGUAACAGUGACUUCCAGGACUAGGAAAAGAGACUGAAGCAUGGCACAGAAAGCAUACUUGGUGCCAGACACAUCCAGGCAGGGAAGAUGGAAACACAUCAAACAAAGCCUGGUAGCUCACCCACACAACCAGCUUUUGCUCAGAUCCUUCUGAUUCUGAAUUACUGGAUUAUUAGUCUUUGAAUUCACAGUUAAUUUUUUGACAGGCUGAACUAGUUCCAUGGAAGUUGUACCAUUCUGGGAGGUAUAGGCAUAGGUUAGAACAUACCAGUUCACUGCUCUCAAGGCACUAAGGCUGCACUGGGUUAAUGGUUACCACAUGCAUGUACAAAUCCCAGGAUCUAUUUCCCUCAUCACCUCAAGAUACUGGAAAAAAAGUGAUCUGACUUAGAGUCUCUUACAGCAGAGUAAAGCAGAGCCUUAAAGCUGUUUCCCUGUUGUGGUUUUGUGAUUUUUGUCGGUAUUCCACAUCAGAGCAUCAUGUAAAGCAGUGGGAGUUAAAGAGUUUAUGUUCUGGUUCUGUGGACUGCCUUUUUUGGGCAUUUUGGGUUCUCAGAGGGGAGGGGAGGGAAGGAGCCGCAUUCGCAGAGGACCUGACACGCAGAAUAAGAAAGGUGGAGCUCCUGGCAGGACGGCAGCCACUCGCUAUCUGUCUUGGUUUGUCGCUGAGGAAAGCACGUGCUUCCCUGCAGUCUACUAGUGUAAGGCCUCAAAUUUUGGAUACUCUUUUCUCUCUUAUUUUGUUUGAUUUUGUUGGAUUUAGUAAAGUACCGUUCCUCCUCAGAGCGUUGCCGUUGUUUUUUUUGUUUGUUUUUGUUUGUUUUUGUUGUUGUUGUUGUUUGUUUUUUUUUUGUCAGACCCAUCUACUGUCUCCCUACCCUUCCCCCUCUCCUGGAACGCACAGCCUGCCCGGGCCGGCCCUGCUGCAAAAGGCUAUCUAUGUUGCUAGGUUGAGUAGUAGCUGAACAGCUCUCCCAUGCAGACACAUUACAGAAGUAUAAAAUAUCACCACCAUUUAAUGAGACUGGGAAACAAAAUUUGUACAGAAGACAUUUAUGUUAUUUGCAUGGAUCACUAGGCAUAAAGAUGACUGACACCAUAUAACAACUGGGCAUACAAAAGAAUCACUCUAUCAAAGAAGGUAUUUUCAGCUCUAAAAAUAUAAGUGUUUAAGAUAUGUGUGUUUGGUCUGGAAUCAUCAUUGUAUCCUGAGAUUCUUCCUAUCCUGGACUGGUCUAUUUCCUUUAGCAAAUUUUUUACAAUGGACUAUUUAAAGAAAUUGUGAGGAGUAAAUAUAUACUUAUAUACUUCUACAAUUUUAUCAUAUUUUAUUUAUCUGCAGUGACUACAUACUUUUAAAAUCCAAGAGCCACUGAAUAUUAUAUGCAGCAGAUGAAGACUUCUUCAGCUGGACAAAAAUUCCAGACUUCUAAAGGAGGAAAACUGUUACAUUUGAUCUCUCAGGGUAACCACCUCCUGAGACCUAAGUUCUUGCAAUCUUAGCCUUGUUUUCCCAUAAAAACACAUAAAAAGGGGUUUCUAAUAAGAAACCCAUACAGGAGCUCAGGACAUUUCUCUCAUGCAAUCCAUUAAUUACCCAAAGAAAACCAAUCAUUAUAGAUCUAACAUUGACUUUAGCUUGUCUCUUGCUUCAUAGCAUUUAUUAUUGUUUACUGAAGACAUGAUGCAAUCCUGGCAAACCAUCCAAACCAGCACCCACCUAGUUCCAGCAUGUGUUACUGACUGAGACAGACAGCCAUUCUCCAAGUCAUCAGUUGUUAAAGCCAUUGCAAAAAUCACCAUGAGGUGAUUUUUAUUACUCACCACACUCUUGGGAGGGAUUGCUCCUAAACUACCAGUUACCCCACCUUAAAAUAACUUUUCCUUUCAUGUACUUGGAAAUGCUGCAGCAUAACUGAGGUCAGAGAAAGCAAAAUAAACACCAUCUUUGGUCUGCAUAUCAUUUCACUCUCAUGACUUCCUCCUUUGAUGCAGUUUAAACCUGUUGCCUACAGACCACUGAAAGAUCCUAACUUAGGACUAAGAGAAAUGCAAAAGAUAAUCAUGGAGCUCUAUGCUUAUGAGCCACUAAACUAGCCCAGUUCAUAAUAACAAGGACUUUCCCCCUCCCUUCAGAAAGUACUUCAUGGAGAGGAGCAAUAGGAACCAAAGACAGACACUACAGAAUAUUAUUGCUCUAUUUUCUCACCUGUGCAUUGCUCUGACGUUUUCACACAACAGUGCUCUCAGGGAGAGAACAAGAAGCCCAACUCAGCUUCACUGCACUCUAGAACCCCGGGGAGGACAUCUCCCUGUCUACCGGCUGGAGGAAAGAUCUGAAGGAACAUUGAGAUUUAGCACCUGAUUUGUUGUUGUUGUUGUUGUUUAGUUUUUUGCUUUUUAAAUUAACUUUCCCCUUUUCCUCCGGUUUUUCUUUAUUUGCUCUCCUUAAGUGCCAAAAAAGAUGGCUUAUGCUAUUGAUGAUUUGUUCACUGACAUAGCCAUCUCUUUCCCUCCCCAGUAAGGCAGCAGAAUCCCAGCAAUUUUUCUCCUUUCCUAUCAGUUUAUGUAGCUCACCUAACCAUUGUGCUACUCAGACUUCUAAAACAGUUAUAAAAUUAAGGAUAACUUAGGUCACGGCAAGUUACGUUCCAGGAAGCCUUAAUUCAUAAGAGAUUCACUGAAGUUCUAUCACUAACUAAUGGUGACUAUUUAAGCAUACAAAAGCAUCUAUUACCAUUGUUCCUGAAUAAGUUCAUUCCUUUGCUAGGACUUCCAUCUCUGCUACAGAUGCUGAAUUUCUGUAUGGUUCAUGCAACAGAGGUUACUUCCAGUAACACAGGGUAGAGGGGAAAUUGCCAUAGCAGUCUCCUUUUCUUUUCCCGCUAUGGAAACUAUCUAACCUUACAGGAAAUACAUGAUUUAUGAGCCAAAUUCAAUUCAUUAAAAUUUCAUAAACAAAUAGCACAAACAGGAUAUGAACAACACAGGUUGUACUGAAAACCCAAAGGCAAUAAUAUGUAUGUCUCAGUAUUUUACUUCAUGUCCACUUUAGUGCUAGCUUGGUCCCAGAAACUGAUUACCUAUUAUCAUUCAGACACAAAUUAAUGUGCUCUUCUUCGUGGCAUUCCUCACUAUUUUGUGUCCUUGCAAAGGGGUACAAUCCUGAGUUUUCUUUCAAAAACACAUCCCUGGCUCAAGGGCAGACCAGUAGGCUCCAUUGACAUCACAGCCAUUUUAAGAUGAGGCAUAAGAUAAGGAGGAAAGGAGUUAGGGUGCAAAGUCAUGCUGCUUAAAUAACAGCAACCCAGCUUAGACAUCCAAGGAAUCAUAGCCACUGCUGUUGUUACGUAGUUCUUAUGUUUUAUGUUCAAACAACCACAAAGGAAAAACAGAUGCAGGUAUAUUUGGCGGUACACAUUAAAACAUCUCAGCAAACAAAGGCAGGCAAAAAAAAAGAGUUGCCCUUUUAGGAAUACUCUGUUAGAUCUGGCAGCAAGGAGUGGGAGGAGGUCACUGGUAUGCAUUCACUUGUGCCACAGAAGAGAAAGACAAAGCAAAAGCAGAAUAAAUUAACUAAAAAGUUUAUCUUCUAUUUAUCUUAGGUUUUGUAUUAAGGCUAAUGUUUUAAUGGAAAUUGGGUGAUAGUUCUUUCCUGCACUUUCAGCAACUACUGAAUAUUAUUUUGAUCCCACUAACUGCCUUCUGAGGAAGGUACACACCAGGUGCUUGCAAGAGAAGACUUUUCCUGGGCCCUAUUAACAUUUCAACGCUUAAAACAAAACCAUGUCUUUUCUGCAGCCUCUUUGCCAAGUACUUCUGGCACUUUCAUACCUGAGUAUGAGCUAAAGCAAAACUAUUGGCUGCCUUCCAGAUUAAUGAGUUUCCAGUCUCUAAUGAAAAGACAAAACUGUAAGAAGUGCAACACUCUGCUUUUGAGUUGUUUGCAAACACAUCUGCCUGAGAAGCAGCAGCCAUCAGACUACAUUUGACCUUUAUGAGAUCCUGUCUCUCUCCCCUCCCUCCCCUUUUUUCCCCUUUUUGCCACAACUUUUCCUAUUUAAAAAGAGGAGGAUUACCAGGCUAGCAUUAAAAACAAACAAACAACAACAACAACAAAAAAACAGUAAGAACCACUCACAUCUACUUGUCCUUCACUCUACUUGUUUCCUUUUUCUUCAUUUGGUUAUGGUCAUCCACAGAACAGCAGCAGCUGCAGCUCUGCACAGUUCAGCUGUAACUGAUCUAACUGAGGCAUCAGAAUGCUACUAAUGUUCUCACUGCUAAUUCAUACUGCUAUCAUCAGGGCUUCAAAUACAAAAAUGGAUUUUUGUGAUUUUACAGAUGAAUUUGCUCCCAUCUUGGUGUAAUUUUACAAGUGCUUUUUGAGAAAGCAGUCCCCAAGUUCACUGAGGUAAAUCCCAGAGCACCACAUUAGUCACAAGGAAAGAAGAACCAGCAAAGAGAACAAAAAUAUCUAAUACAAUGGGAACCCUCCCUUACAAUACAGUCACAGAAACUCCAAGAUGCUCAAGUUCUAAUAGUGCCAAGAUAUAAACAGCUAUUUAUGAUCACCUUCCUGCACACUGGCAUAAGUCUUUCUAAGCAGUUCUUUGGGAUUGUCACCCUAUGCCUGCAAAACAUAUUAAAACUAUCUUCUCCUAGAAUUGUUUAAUUGGUAUUAAUUACAUUUAAUGCCUGUUACACUCAUCAUUAAGCACAGCUACUACUCAUCCUGUAUCGGUGCUUUCUAAAACAUAACUGCAGACAACAAGAGUACUGCUGGAUCACUCAGGUCUGCUGCCCCCUUGUAUGUUUGCUACAGCACAACAAAUUCAAGGUACAACUGAGCAUCCCAUGAAGUUAAAGAAGUCAGAGUGCCUAUAAGGAAAAUUUCUGCAAGUAUUAGAAGUUCAUCACCAACACUAAUACACAAUCACUUCAGUUUUUAGAGGAGGUUAAAAAUACAUAGGUAGCACUGAGGAAGUACUCUUAGGUUUGUAUUCUGUCUUCUUCCCACUUGUCCUAUCUUGUAUAAUGCCUAACUCUCCUAUGCAAUAAAAUGCCAAAACUUGGCAGUUACUUCUUCACAGAAGUUUCUGGAAAUAGCAGCUGCAAUAACAGAAGCUGUCGAGACUUUCCUUUUACAGGCCUGCAUCAACCCCACUGAACACGACUUGCUGCAUUCUCUAGAUGUACACAUGCCAGCAAGCUCAUUCUGUUGUUUUGAACUAGGAGAAAAGGUAAGCCAACUCUUUUCUCCAUUAAAUUGAUGUAAAGAAGGAAAAACUUAAACUAAACAGCUUUAUUGCCUUAUACUUGUGUGUGCCUGCCUACAAGUUUCAAUGGAUCCUAGGCUGGAAUGCACAUGAUUUUAUCACAAAGAAACUGUAUCUCAGCAGAGGUGAAUAUGAAUAAUACAAAGUCCAGCCAAUAGACAUGGCUGCUGUCUGGGACAGAUAUAGGAACUGGGUAGGAAAACUCCCCUCUUUGCUCCGGAGCAGCAGCAAAAGCCCUACUUUCACCACUGUAGAAGACUUCACCCUCUCCCUCUGCCUAUAUCCACCGCACCCAGCAGCAAUGCCAGCAACAGCCCCACUGAUGAAGACAUUCACUUCAGCAAAGCUGAAUCAGUUCCACUGUCAGGGUAAAUGGACCUGUUUCACACUCAGAAAGCCUACAUCAGUGCUCAGGCUUCCCCAUCCAGACAUGAAAGAGAAGCGCCACAGCUGGUUAAAUAAUUCUGCCCAGAAGAUUAAGCAUGUAACACAGGCUUUUGAAAGAAGUAAGAGUGGCUGUCAUGCUUUUACUUGCCCUGAUAGCCAUGCACUUUAUGAGAGAUGCCAAGUGCUAUUGCAAACAGUCUGUACUUCCAUGACAGUAAGAGCCUCUGCUCUUUUCAUUGCCACAGACCAGCGCUUUUGAUCCAUCAGCAGUGCUUGGCGUUCAUUCCCAAGGGAAAUCCUUUGAAAUGUACCUUCAUCUUGAUCACUGACCUCAAGCUGGUCCAAUACCACAAGCACCAGUGCAAAGAGCUGCAGCUGCUUUGUGCAGAACUUUAUCUGAUUACUAGAUUUCAAAGCAACUAAAUCCAGUCUAAUCCACCACAUAAAUCAGUCAAACUAUUUUUAAUGCAAGUUCUUUCUUUUAAAACAUAACAAGUGGCCUAAAAUUCAGACUAAAAUUUAGCAUAGCUUUUUUUUCUGUCCCAGAACCAGCCUACUACAGUUUAUUGAUCAUUGUAUCAUUGAAGCUUAUAUCAUAUUAAGAAUAUUAUAAUAAAACAUUAAAACCACUUAGGAAAAGCAAACAUAUACAGAUCAAAGAAAAAGUUAUGAAUACAGAUAACCACAAAAGAUGAAAAUAAAACAGCUUAAGCUAUUUAUAAGUAAUUGCCAAUUAUUUAUUUAUUCUGAUACAAAUAUAUCCCAUUAGAACAUCAACAUUUUCUAUUUUGCUUAAAAUAAUCACUAACAAAGAAGUCUGAACAUGAAAAUAAUUCGUUCAUCUACUCAAUUUGACACAGAAGUCACUUUAGAGUAAGCUCUGUCAAUUCUUUUUAAAAAACACAUAAUAUCUGUAACAUACGUAUAUAUAUACUUAUGGAUUGGGAUCUCCAGCUGCCAUGAGACUGAAGAAAUGCUUAUGAACUCAGAAAGCAGGAAUUGUAUUUCAUUCACCCUUUUUGCCAUGGUAAAAAAAGUCAACAUGAUCCAGAUGUUCCAGGUGUUAAAGAAUGCCUACUUGGUAACUACUGUCCAAGACACAAGGUUUAUCUUUAUAGUGCUGAAAUAAUGUAUUUAAUCCAGAGAUAAUACAGCAGCCUUCUUCCAUUACUCUUCAGAGUGGAGAACACGGUUUAACACUUCUUCACAUUUUGGUAAUUUAAAUGAAGUCACAUUAUUUAUCUAAUGGCCAAACAAAUCAGAAAGCAUUAUAGUACAAUGAGGUGGUAUAACUAAGUAGUGAAAUAUUAAAAUGGCAAGUUAGGUUUCCUAUCAAGUGAUAUGAAAUAGUGGGUUUCUUCUGUAUUACACCUAUCAUUAGUAUUACCACAAUUUGUAAUUAUUUUCAGUUCUUUAAGAGAAUGAUUCUGCUGUUCUUUUUAAAGAGGAAGGAAGAAACUGAAUUUUUGAGUGCAUGGGUCAUUGCAACUACCUAGCAUACAUUUAUUUUCCCUCUUAGACCUCUACACUUAUUUUCCUCACCACCACCAUCUCAGAGCUCAUAGAACUCCGAGUUUUGCUGCUGGAAUGUCCAUGAACUUGGAGGAGCCUGGUUUCCUGACAUCAGAAAGCUGUUCUACCAAAGCCACAGUAUGACACCAGUGCAACUUAAAGGAUGUCACAAACUCCUCCAGGGCAGCACUGGCUACAGACAGAGGUUAAAUUUCGUCAUCACCAUGGAUACUCAGGACAAUAUUACAAUAGAGCAUUAGCACUGCUGAUCUCAGGAGCACCAGGUGAAAUGACAGCUAUUCUGGUGUAACAGAAGAGAUAGGAGCAGUAAAUUACUUUUAAAAAUAAAAGCUUGCAUACAAGUUUCCAUCAUUAAAUCGUUGUAGAAUGACACUGUAUAUGUAUUUACAGUACGUCCCUUUUCAUAACCUGUCUUACAGUGAUGCCAGCUGAAAGGAAACACACACACAAGUUUUCCUCAGCUCCCCUAGCCACCGAGCAGCUGUUCCUCUGCAGAAGAGGAGAACAAGGAGAGGGCUCCUCAACGAAAACCAGUUCCAUUACAGGUGGACAUCUCCCUAACUACAGCCCCCAUACUGUGGGCAUGCCCAAGAACACAGAAACCAUGCUCAUGAAAAACACCUAGCGAUAUUAACUCACCAACAGGAAUGGAAAAUGCCUUCAUGUUUUGCCUACACUCAAAUAUACUCUUGCCACUCCAGCUCCAUAUCAAAUACAGAGCAGGCUAGCAAAUUACAGAAGCUGGAGCAGAUCUCGUUAAUAGGUAUUUGACAGAAAGCGCCUCAAUAAUGCACAAAUCUUGUAGGUAAACUUCCUUCUGUUUUGAGUUGAAUGAAUGAGGCCUUGUCCCUUACCUCAGAUGUGGUGAUAGGGUCAACUACCCAAUACCAGUAUCAAAGAAACACAGUAAUAAACAACAGAAGACAAACCAUGUUAGGCCAUGCUGCACAAACUGUAAAUUCAACAACAGCAUAAAACCAACGAUACUUGGAAUGCUAUCAAAUCAACAGAAAAAGUAUUUUUGCAGUGUUCAGACUGCUUCCUCUUGUGCAGGCUUGGAAUAAAACAGUUUAUUCAACUGUGAGAUCCAGAGAGAUUUAGUAAAAACAGCAUGGAAGGAAUGCCAUCACAGGCAUAAAUUAAGAGCCUCAUUGGUAAACAAAGCUACACAGUUCUCAUCCCAUUAGCAGACAAACUUGGUGAUGUUUUCCAGCCUUAAUGAUUCUGUGAUUCUAUGUUUGAGAAGUCUUCUGAACUCUAGUAUAUGGGGCACAAUAAUGGAUGCAAGAGGCCAGGCUGAUGCCAGGCUUGCUGGGAACAUCUGACCUUAAAGAUGCCACCAGCUGAAAAACAGCUGUAUCAUGAAGCAACUCAUGACUCCAGUUAACUGAGUCCUUAUAGAAAAAUAGCACAUGCCUCUUCAUGCACCUGCAAUACGAACCAAAAAAAUUAGCCAGAAAUACUGGCCUUUCAGAGGUACUCAAGUGAACAUGCUUACAAUAGGAAUUUACUUUACGAAGUGUUGUUUGCCAAGUUUGACAAAGUUUGACUGCCAAAUGCUGCAGAUCUAAACAAGCUAUAAUGGUUGCCCACAUCCGACUUACAGCAUUGAAAUUAAUCGUGUGUUGCUGUAAAUCCUGAAAUCUGUGCUACCUCCUUACAGAGGAAUCCAGAUACGUGGCCCAGAACUUAAAAACUUCUGGAUCAGCUCCUAGUGAAACUCCCCUGAGGUGAUCAGGGAGGCUUUAAUCUUUAUCACCCACCAGGCUAGCAAAUUAGCUCUGAGAGGAGCUCUUCUAGGUAGGCAGAUACUGACUGACAUCCAGUUAGGCACAGUAAUACCACCCUGCUGCUUGGCAGUAGGCAGGGCAGUAAGCAACGCAACAUGUGGGCAUCAGGUUUACAAAGUUGAUUGGAGGAUCACCGCCCAACACCAGUUGGGAAGACUGAAAUUCUAAUUAAUCUGUUUAUGCAAGCAAUCUAUUUCCAGCACUAGCAGAUAGUAUUUCAAGAAAAAUUUAAAACAUGACUAGUUUUGUAAGCAGCAUAUUUACUAUACUCAUAUUACCAGUGAUACCUAUGAGUAGCAUGUUUAGAAUGGACUUGAAAACAGAAAACCAGUUCUUUCAGAACCUCCUUAAUAUUUAUAGCUCUAUUGGAGGCAUAGUGUCUACCCUCCACCUGGGGAUAGAUGAGGAGCUGACAGAGAGCUUAUGGGUUAGGGUUAAAAGACGCAGGGGAAGGAGACACUGUAGUGGGAGUCUGCUACAGGCCAACCACCUGGUCUGGAAAACCAAGCAGAUGAGGCCCUCUACAGAUAGAAGCAGCUUCAUGUUCACAAAACAUGGUCCUCAUGGGGGAUUUCAGCCAUCCCAAUACUUGUUGGAGGGACAACACAGCAGAGCACCAGAAAUUGAAGAUGUUCCCGGAAUGCAUUGAUGAUAACUUUCUCUUCCAAGUGGUACAUGAACCCAUGAGAAAAAUGCUAUGCUGGACCUUGUUCUCACUAAUGAGGAGGGACUGGUGAGUAAUGCAAAGCUCAAGGGCAGCUUUGGCUGCAGUGACCACGAAACAGUGUUGUUCAAGAUCCUUACGGCAUCAAAGAGGGUGUGCAGCAAGCUUGCUACUCUGGACUUCAGAAGCACAGACUUCGAACUCUUCAGGGAACUACUUGGCAGGGUGACAUGGGAUAAAGCCCUGGAGGGAAGAGGGACCUAAGAAAGCUGGUCAGUAUUCAAGGACCAUCUCCUCCAAGCCCAGAAGCAUUGCACCCUGAGAAAAAGGCAGGCAGGCAGGCAAGAGUGCCAGGAGGCCUUCAUGAAUCAACUAGGAGUUCCUGGACUUCCUUAAGUAGAAAAAUAAAGUAUAUAGGGAGUGGAAGCAGGAGCAGGUUGCCUGGGAGGACUACAGGGGAGUGGAAGCAGGAGCAGGUUACUUGGGAGGACUACAGAACAGUCGUCUGAGCAGCUAGGGAUCAUGUUAGGAAAGCUAAAACCUAGAUAGAAUGAAAUCUAGCCAGGUACAUAAAGGGGAACAAGAAGAAAUAUUACAGGUUUAAUUAGUGAUUAAAGGUCAGGGAAGAUGUGGGUCCCUCUCUGGGAGGAAACUGAAUACCUGGUCACAAGGGAUAUGGAGAAAGCCAAGGUGCUCAAUGGCUUCUUUGCUUCAGUCUUCGCUGGCAAAGGCUCUAUUCAUGCUGCCCAAGCUGCAGAAAGCAAUGGUAAGAAGCUGCUCACUCUAAGUGAAGAUCAGGUUCAAGACCGUCUAAAGAACCUGAAGGUGCACAAGUCCAUGGGAACUGAUGAGAUCCAUCCACAGGUUCAGAGGGAACUGGCAGAUGAAGUUGCCAAGCCACUAUUUAUCAUAUUUAAAAGGUUGUGGCAGUCUGGUGAAGUUCACACUGAUCGGAAAAGGGGAAACGUAACCCCCAUUUUCAAGAAGGGAAAAAAAAAAGAUCCAAGGAACUACAGGUCAGUCAGUAUCACCUCUGCACCUGGCAAGAUCACAGAGCAGAUCCUCCUGAAGGCCCUACUAAGGCACAUGGAAAAUAAAGAUGAGGUGAUUGAUGAUAACCAGCAUGGCUUCACCAAGGGCAAGUCAUGCCUGACAAAUGUAGUGGCCUCUUAUGAUGGAGUCAUAGUGUCAGUGGAUAAAGGAAGAACAACUGAUGUCAUCUACCUAGAUUUGUGCAAAGCAUUUGACACUGUCUGACACAUCAUCCUGGUCACCAAAUUAGAGAAAAAUCAAUGUGAUGGAUGGAUCACUCACUGCAUAAGGAAUUGGCUGGAUGGUUACACUCAGAAAGUUGCAGUUAACAGCUCAGUGUCCAAUGUGCUGGGAUUGAUGUUAUUUAACAUCCUUGUAGGUGACAUGGACAGUGGGACCAGACUCACGCUCAGCAAGUUUGCAGACAACACCAAGCUGAGUGGUGCAGAUGACAUGCUAGAGGGAAGGAAUACUAUCCAGGGAGAAUCAGAAUCACCAAGGUUGGUAAAGACCUGUAAGAUCAUCCAGUCCAGCCAUCCACCUAUAACCAAUAUUUCCCACUAAACCAUGUCCCUCAGUACAACAUCUAAACAUUUCUUGAACACCUCCAAGGGAUGGAAGGACCUGGACAGGCUGCAGAGGUGGGCCCAUGCCAACCUCAUGAAGUUCAUCAAAGUCAAGUGCAAGGUCCUGCAACUGGGUCAGGGCAAUCCCAAGCACAGAUAGAUGUUGGGCAGAGAAUGGCUUGAGAGCAGCCCUGAGGGGAAGGAUUUGGGGGUGUCAGUUGAUGAAAAAUUCAAUAUGAGCUGGCACAGUGCACUUGCAGCCUAGAAGGUCAACUGUAUCCUGGGUUGCAUCAAGAGAAGCUUGACCAGAAGGUCAAGGAUAGUGAUUCUUCCCCCCUGCUCCUGUGACACCCUACCUGGAGUACUGUGCCCAGUACUCUGGGGCCCUCAACACAAGAACAUGGAGAUGUUGGAGCAGGUCCAGAGGAAGGCCACAAAAAUGAUCAGAGGGCUGGAACACCUCCCCCAUGAGGACAGGCUGAGAGAGCUGGAGCUCUUCAUUCUGGAGAAGAGAAGGCUCUGGGGGGGAACUUUAUAGCAGCCUUCCAGUACCUGAAGGGGCCUACAGAAAAGCUGAGGAGGGACUUUUUACAAGGGCAUGUAGCAAUAAGAUGAGGGGAAAUGGUUUUAAACUGGAAGAGGGUAUAUUCAGACUAGAUAUCAGGAAGAAAUUAUUUCCUGUGAGAGUGGUGAGACACUGGAACAGGUUGCCCAGCAAGGUUGUGGAUUCCCUCUCCCUGGAAGCAUUCAAGGCCAGGCUGGAUGGCUGUGAGCAGCCUGAUCUAGAUGGAGGUGCCUAUAGCAGGGGGCUAGGCUAGAUCAUCUUACAGAUCCCUUCCAACCCAACCCAUUCUAUGAUUCUAUGAUAACAUCUUCAUUAAUUCAGAUAUUAACACCUGAAAACAGCAAUUUUUUGCCUUAAUAUUUCUGCAUCCAAGAUCUGCAUUUGCAGCUAAGAGAUAAUGACAUCUUUAACUGUACAGUAAUAACUAAACAGUUAGUCAGCAGCAGUUGUUUAAUCAAGUUUGUUUUGUUUUUCAACUGAAGUGUUUAAGUGGCAUUGAAGGACACUGGGUGACUACAAUUUUUGAUCACUAAAUAAUACCUGUCUACACUCUAACCGGUUUCCUACUGUAGGAAAAAAUAUUUCUACCAUUCAUUUCACCAUGAAGAAGGCAUGUGAAACAGAGGGAAAGAAUCACAUCCUAAAGUUGCCUCUUUCCCUCCAAUGAUUUUAAAAGGAACCUGAAGUACAGCUAAGGGAAAGGCAUCUACAUCAGGCAAAUCCUAUGCACUGUUCCUGGCAAAGUCUCCAGGAACUAUGUGAUCACUGCACUUAGGUACAAGAAUCACACCAUUAUCAUUUAUGUUUUAAACUUGCGUACAAAAUAUUUUUGUGUUCCAUUUUUAUUUCCCAG
ensembl:lncRNA